rnacentral:rRNA from 1 species
AGAGUUUGAUUAUGGCUCAGGACGAACGCUGGCGGUGCGCCUUAUGCAUGCAAGUCGAGCGAAGCUUUUCAGUAGUUUACUACAGAAAAUGACUGAGCGGCGAACGGGUGAGUAACGCGUGAGCAAUCUACCUUAGUUACAGGGAUAGCCCGAGGAAACUCGGAUUAAUACCUGAUAUUCUUUAUUUCUCGCAUGAGAAUAAAAGGAAAGGUCAGCCGAACUAAGAUGAGCUCGCGUUCUAUCAGCUUGUUGGUGAGGUAAAAGCUUACCAAGGCUACGACGGAUAGCUGGUCUGAGAGGACGAUCAGCCACACUGGGACUGAGACACGGCCCAGACUCCUACGGGAGGCUGCAGCAGGGAAUAUUGUGCAAUGAACGAAAGUUUGACACAGCGACACCGCGUGUGGGAUGACGGAUCUAGGUUUGUAAACCACUUUCAGGAGGGAAGAAAAUGACGGUACCUCCACAAGAAGCCCCGGCCAACUACGUGCCAGCAGCCGCGGUAAUAC